rnacentral:rRNA from 1 species
CAGCAGCCGCGGGAAUACGUAGGUGGCAAGCGUUGUCCGGAAUUAUUGGGCGUAAAGGGCUCGCAGGCGGUUUCUUAAGUCUGAUGUGAAAGCCCCCGGCUCAACCGGGGAGGGUCAUUGGAAACUGGGAAACUUGAGUGCAGAAGAGGAGAGUGGAAUUCCACGUGUAGCAGUGAAAUGCGUAGAGAUGUGGAGGAACACCAGUGGCGAAGGCGACUCUCUGGUCUGUAACUGACGCUGAGGAGCGAAAGCGUGGGGAGCGAACAGGAUUAGAUACCCGGGUAGUCCAUGUCUCUUAUAA